rnacentral:rRNA from 1 species
UACGAACCGUCCAAACGUUAUUCGGAAUUACUGGGUUUAAAGGGUACGUAGGCGGCGCUGUUAGUCGGGUGUGAAAGCCCUCGGCUCAACCGAGGAAUUGCGCCCGAUACUGCAGUGCUUGAGGGAGACAGAGGUAAGCGGAACUGAUGGUGGAGCGGUGAAAUGCGUUGAUAUCAUCAGGAACACCGGUGGCGAAAGCGGCUUACUGGGUCUCUUCUGACGCUGAGGUACGAAAGCCAGGGGAGCGAAGGGG